rnacentral:rRNA from 1 species
GCGAACGUCGUGGCGGCGGCCGCGGUAGGACGUAGGUGGCAAGUGUUGUCUGGAAUGAUUGUGCGGCAAGCGCGCUCAGGCGGUCCUUUAAGUCGGAUGGGAAAGCCCAGGGCUCAACCGUGGAGGGUCAUUGGAAACUGGGGGACUUGAGUGCAGAAGAGGAAAGCGGAAUUCCACGUGUAGCGGUGAAAUGCGUAGAGAUGUGGAGGAACACCAGUGGCGAAGGCGGCUUUCUGGUCUGUAACUGACGCUGAGGCGCGAAAGCGUGGGGAGCAAACAGGAUUAGAUACCCUAGUAGUC